rnacentral:rRNA from 1 species
UCAGUCGACUCCUACGGGGAGGCAGCAGUGAGGAAUAUUGGUCAAUGGGCGCAAGCCUGAACCAGCCAUGCCGCGUGCAGGAAGACUGCCUAUGGGUUGUAAACUGCUUUAUACAGGAAGAAACACUACCCUCGUGAGGGAGCUUGACGGUACUGUAAGAAUAAGGAUCGGCUAACUCCGUGCCAGCAGCCGCGGUAAUACGGAGGAUCCAAGCGUUAUCCGGAAUCAUUGGGUUAAAGGGUCCGUAGGUGGAUUAGUAAGUCAGAGGUGAAAUCCUGCAGCUCAACUGUAGAACUGCCUUUGAUACUGCUAGUCUUGAGUCAUUAUGAAGUGGUUAGAAUGUGUAGUGUAGCGGUGAAAUGCAUAGAUAUUACACAGAAUACCGAUUGCGAAGGCAGAUCACUAAUAAUGUACUGACACUGAUGGACGAAAGCGUGGGGAGCGAACAGGAUUAGAUACCCUGGUAG